UGUCAGGUUAAGUCCUAUAACGAGCGCAACCCCUGUUGUUAGUUGCCAGCGAGUCAUGUCGGGAACUCUAACAAGACUGCCAGUGCAAACUGUGAGGAAGGUGGGGAUGACGUCAAAUCAUCACGGCCCUUACGUCCUGGGCCACACACGUGGUACAAUGGCCGGUACAGAGAGCAGCCACUACGCGAGUAGGAGCGAAUCUUCAAAACCGGUCUCAGUUCGGAUCGGAGUCUGCAACUCGACUCCGUGAAGCUGGAAUCGGUAGUAAUUGCAUAUCAGCCAUGAUGCGGUGAAUACGUUCCCGGG
rnacentral:rRNA from 1 species